rnacentral:rRNA from 1 species
UACGUAGGGUGCGAGCGUUAAUCGGAAUUACUGGGCGUAAAGCGUGCGCAGGCGGUUCGUUAUGUCCGAUGUGAAAGCCCCGAGCUCAACUUGGGAAUGGCAUUGGAAACUGGCGGGCUGGAGUGUGGCAGAGGGGGGUGGAAUUCCACGUGUAGCAGUGAAAUGCGUAGAGAUGUGGAGGAACACCGAUGGCGAAGGCAGCCCCCUGGGCUAACACUGACGCCUCAUGCACGAAAGCGUGGGGAGCAAACAGG